rnacentral:rRNA from 1 species
AGUGAACGCUGGCGGUAGGCCUAACACAUGCAAGUCGAACGGCAGCACAGUAAGAGCUUGCUCUUACGGUUGGCGAGUGGCGGACGGGUGAGGAAUACAUCGGAAUCUACUUUUUCGUGGGGGAUAACGUAGGGAAACUUACGCUAAUACCGCAUACGACCUACGGGUUAAAGCAGGGGAUCUUCGGACCUUUCGCGAUUGAAUGAGCCGAUGUCGGAUUAGCUAGUUGGCGGGGUAAAGGCCCACCAAGGCGACGAUCCGUAGCUGGUCUGAGAGGAUGAUCAGCCACACUGGAACUGAGACACGGUCCAGACUCCUACGGGAGGCAGCAGUGGGGAAUAUUGGACAAUGGGCGCAAGCCUGACCCAGCCAUACCGCGUGAGUGAAGAAGGCCUUCGGGUUGUAAAGCCCUUUUGUUGGGAAAGAAAAGCAGCAGGUUAAUACCCCGCUGUUCUGACGGUACCCAAAGAAUAAGCACCGGCUAACUUCGUG